rnacentral:rRNA from 1 species
GACGAACGCUGGCGGCGUGCUUAACACAUGCAAGUCGAACGCUGAAGCCUAGCUUGCUGGGUGGAUGAGUGGCGAACGGGUGAGUAACACGUGAGUAACCUGCCCCCUUCUUUGGGAUAACGCCCGGAAACGGGUGCUAAUACUGGAUAUUCACUGAUCUUCGCAUGGGGGUUGGUGGAAAGGUUUUUUCUGGUGGGGGAUGGGCUCGCGGCCUAUCAGCUUGUUGGUGGGGUGAUGGCCUACCAAGGCUUUGACGGGUAGCCGGCCUGAGAGGGUGACCGGUCACAUUGGGACUGAGAUACGGCCCAGACUCCUACGGGAGGCAGCAGUGGGGAAUAUUGCACAAUGGGCGGAAGCCUGAUGCAGCGACGCCGCGUGAGGGAUGGAGGCUUUCGGGUUGUAAACCUCUUUCGCUCAUGGUCAAGCCGCAACACUGGUUGUGGUGAGGGUAGUGGGUAAAGAAGCGCCGGCUAACUACGUGCCAGCAGCCGCGGUAAUACGUAGGGCGCGAGCGUUGUCCGGAAUUAUUGGGCGUAAAGGGCUUGUAGGCGGUUGGUCGCGUCUGCCGUGAAAUCCUCUGGCUUAACUGGGGGCGUGCGGUGGGUACGGGCUGACUUGAGUGCGGUAGGGGAGACUGGAACUCCUGGUGUAGCGGUGGAAUGCGCAGAUAUCAGGAAGAACACCGGUGGCGAAGGCGGGUCUCUGGGCCGUUACUGACGCUGAGGAGCGAAAGCGUGGGGAGCGAACAGG